AUUGAACGCUGGCGGCAUGCCUUACACAUGCAUGUCGAACGGUAACAGGUCUUCGGAUGCUGACGAGUGGCGAACGGGUGAGUAAUACAUCGGAACGUGCCUAGUAGUGGGGGAUAACUACUGGAAAGAGUGGCUAAUACCGCAUGAGAUCUAAGGAUGAAAGCAGGGGAUCGCAAGACCUUGUGCUACUAGAGCGGCCGAUGGCAGAUUAGGUAGUUGGUGGGAUAAAAGCUUACCAAGCCGACGAUCUGUAGCUGGUCUGAGAGGACGAUCAGCCACACUGGGACUGAGACACGGCCCAGACUCCUACGGGAGGCAGCAGUGGGGAAUUUUGGACAAUGGGCGCAAGCCUGAUCCAGCAAUGCCGCGUGCAGGAUGAAGGCCUUCGGGUUGUAAACUGCUUUUGUACGGAACGAAAAGCCCUGGGUUAAUACCCUGGGGUCAUGACGGUACCGUAAGAAUAAGCACCGGCUAACUACGUGCCAGCAGCCGCCGUAA
rnacentral:rRNA from 1 species